AUUUAUCUUGUCGUCGGCAAGUAUUAUCAGAUUUAUUUAAUUAUCUUUGAUACUAUUCAGAUUAUUAUUUUAGUUUAUUCUUUCAUUUAUUUUUCAAUAUUCUUAUGAAUAAGUUUUUUCAUUUGUUUUCUUAAUUUUUUUGACACGCUGUCAACAUUUUUUUUUCUCUACACUAGCUAGGAAAUCUCAAUUCCUGUUUGUGGUCAGGUGGAAUAUUACAAAUGUUCAAUUUAUCUUUCUUGAUUGAUUUAAUAUUGAUUGAUUGAAUUUUCUUGUCAUAUUUUUUUUCAAAAUUUAAUUAGAACGAAGAAUUAUAACGGGCUUUUCAAGAAAAGGCCUUACCAUUGGAGUUUCGCCAUAUUCACAUCCAAUCAAGAAAUUACCACGAGAUCAAACUCUAUUUUGGAUCCUUCUUCUGAAAGAGUCGCUGAACGAUUCCUCAUCGUCGAUAAUUUUCCUGGUACCUAUAUCGAGACCAAAUCCUCCCUUGGAUCAUUUUGGUGGAGCCGCAGAACAGUUGGCCAUUUUGGAUAAUUUUCCUGGUACGAAUAAGAAUGAAUACCCAAGGUAUUUACCUAGGUUGGCACUUGAUGAAGAGACCACAGCAAUCACAAUAAUCCCAUUAAAAUCAGUAGAUUCUCAUAGUUGAAUUCUGUCCUAGUUUUGUUACAUUUAUUCUCAAUUUUGAUUUCAUUUUAUUUUUGUAUUAUUUUUCGGGAGAAAUAUAUUGUUAAAAUUUU